GACGAACGCUGGCGGCGUGCUUAACACAUGCAAGUCAGGGAGAACGGUGUCCUUCGGGAUGCCUAGUAAACCGGCAAACGGGUGAGUAACACGUAGGUAACUUGCCUUUGGGUUUGGGAUAACCUCGCUAACGCGGGGGUAAUUCCGAAUAAUGCAGCGGAUCCGCAUGGAUAUGUUGUUAAAGCGGCGAUGACUUGUCAUCGUCGCGCCUAAAGAUGGACCUGCGCCCCAUUAGCAGUUGGUGAGGUUACGGCUCACCAAGGCUGCGAUGG
rnacentral:rRNA from 1 species